ACUUCAUCAACCGGAAGAGGUUUUACCUAAUGUAAAUUAAUAGGGAAUCGUGUGAAAAUCACGAGCUGUCGCGCAACUGUAAGUAACAUCCAAAGGUUUUUAUCCCAGAAUAUCCACUGCCAAUAGCGGGAAGGAUGAUAAAAACUGUUACAAGCCAGGAGACCUGCCUGUUCUGAAUUGACAAUG
rnacentral:ncRNA from 25 species